CGCAUUAUUUUAUCAGAAUGGCAGCUGAUUCUUGGCCUAUCCCACGCAGUGGGUUUGUGCCAUUCUUGAAGAGAUCAUCAUCAUCAACAUGAUCGUCAUCAUAAUCAUCAUCGUGUUGUCUUCUGUCUAUGGCAAGUAGCACGCGGCUGGGCAGCAGCACAAGCAGCUCCUGAUUCCGCCUUGAAAAACACUCUUCGAAGUGCCGGCUCUUCACUUUGGGUGGCAGUGCGGCGGCUGCUUUCCAACUUGAACAAACCGGGAAGAUUUUCAUGUGGCAGGCAUUUUGUGCACGUUGAGGACUAUGGCAAGCAACAAGGCUCGGGAAGAAACCCUGCUGACCUGUCCCUACAACCCUGAUCACAUGGUAAAGCGGAGCCGCUUCCAGAUACAUGUCACCAAGUGCAGAAUGGCUCACCCCGAGAAGAGUUUGAAGCAAUUCCCAUUCUCGGCUGGCCAUAGUGUUCCUGCCACUGAGCUAAUGCGGCACAUAUACACGUGCCCGCUCAACAAUACAGUCGGGCGCUUCCUAAAAGGUAACACACAGUUCUCCAAGUAUUGUCCUCACUUUACCUAUACCUGAUUUCCAGUUUGUUUUUUUAAUGCCCUGCCCGACAUUGAUUCUGGCCGUCUCUUGGCAGAUGAGGCGACUUGACGACUGCCGAGGUCUGCAGCUUCACCGCUGGACUUUCAGUGCAAGUCCAACCUAAUUCAGUUUGCAGCAGUGUGUCUGUCCGUCUCUCUGUCUCUAUCUCUCUCUCUGUCACGUGAACGCCUCAAAGAGAGACUUGGUGGAGCGUGGUAUUUCAAGCACAAGAAAAUGGCUUCCUGCUACGUUCCCUGUGUGCUUCAGUUCGGGGUAUUGAAGUGCUUUGCUUGCUGCGAAACCUGGAGCGGAAAAAGACGUUGGAGGCUCAGCAGAAGCCGGACCACAAGAAGGCGACUGGCACAUAUAAAAUCUGCCAGCAAUGAUGAAAAAGCGAGCUUUUUUUCU